GACGAACGCUGGCGGCGUGCUUAACACAUGCAAGUCGAACGGAAAGGCCCUGCUUUUGUGGGGUGCUCGAGUGGCGAACGGGUGAGUAACACGUGAGUAACCUGCCCUUGACUUUGGGAUAACUUCAGGAAACUGGGGCUAAUACCGGAUAGGAGCUCCUGCUGCAUGGUGGGGGUUGGAAAGUUUCGGCGGUUGGGGAUGGACUCGCGGCUUAUCAGCUUGUUGGUGGGGUAGUGGCUUACCAAGGCUUUGACGGGUAGCCGGCCUGAGAGGGUGACCGGCCACAUUGGGACUGAGAUACGGCCCAGACUCCUACGGGAGGGAGCAGUGGGGAAUAUUGCACAAUGGGCGGAAGGCUGAUGCAGCAACGCCGCGUGCGGGAUGACGGCCUUCGGGUUGUAAACCGCUUUCGCCUGUGACGAAGCGUGAGUGACGGUAAUGGGGAAAGAAGCACCGGCUAACUACGUG
rnacentral:rRNA from 1 species